rnacentral:rRNA from 1 species
CCCUUAGAUGUCCUGGGCCGCACGCGCGCUACACUGACAUGUUCAACAAGCCUCCUAGUUCGACAGGAUUUGGGAAAUCUUUGAACGCAUGUCGUGAUAGGGAUAGAUCAUUGCAAUUAUUGACCUUGAACGAGGAAUUCCUAGUAAACGCGAGUCAUCAGCUCGCAUUGAUUACGUCCCUGCCCUUUGUACACACCGCCCGUCGCACCUACCGAUUGAAUGUUUCGGUGAAGAUUCCGGAUAGGACUUUUUUGAUUUAUUUCAAUUCUGUCUUAAAAGCUAUCUAAACCUCAACAUUUAGAGGAAGGUGAAGUCGUAACA